rnacentral:misc_RNA from 1 species
UUUGAGUUUUGCUAAAUUUU